rnacentral:rRNA from 1 species
CAGUCGCGGUAAUACGUAGGGUGCAAGCGUUAAUCGGAAUUACUGGGCGUAAAGCGUGCGCAGGCGGUGUUGUAAGACUGAUGUGAAAUCCCCGGGCUCAACCUGGGAACUGCAUUGGUGACUGCAACGCUGGAGUGCGGCAGAGGGGGAUGGAAUUCCGCGUGUAGCAGUGAAAUGCGUAGAUAUGCGGAGGAACACCGAUGGCGAAGGCAAUCCCCUGGGCCUGCACUGACGCUCAUGCACGAAAGCGUGGGGAGCAAACAGGAUUAGAUACCCCCGUAGUCCCUGUCUCUUAUACACU